rnacentral:rRNA from 1 species
AUGUCCUUUGGCAAGGCGGACAUGAGCAAGGAGGGCAUGUACCAGGAGCGCAAGGACGUGCCGGCCACACGGUUCGCGACGCCGCCGCCGAUGCGCCACCGCCAUGCCGGCCACGGUGACCAGCAGCAGCAGCUGGAGUGCUUCUCUGAUGAGGUGGACAGCCGGUGUACCGCCGAGAUGAAGGAGCCUGGGGGCAGUGCGGCCGGCUCCCAGCUCGUUUCAGGCGGCGGCGUUGGCGACGGGUCGAGCAUCGAGGUGGCCAAGAAGCGGAGGGGGCGGCCGCCGGGGUCCAAGAACAAGCCGAAGCCGCCCGUGGUGAUCACGCGGGAGGCGGAGCCCGCGGCGGCGAUGCGGCCGCACGUGAUCGAGAUCCCCGGGGGCCGCGACGUCGCCGAGGCGCUGGCGCGCUUCGCGAGCCGCCGCAACCUCGGGAUCUGCGUGCUCGCCGGCACCGGCGCCGUCGGCAACGUCUCGCUCCGCCACCCCUGCCCCACGGCGCCCGGUGCUGCCCCGGCCGUCGUCGUCUUCCAGGGCCGGUUUGAGAUCCUCUCCAUCUCCGCCACCUUCCUGCCCCCGGCCAUGGCCGCCGUGGCGCCCCAGGCCGCGGCCGUCGCUGCCGGGCUCUCCAUCUCGCUCGCCGGCCCGCACGGCCAGAUCGUCGGCGGCGCAGUCGUGGGCCCGCUCUACGCCGCGACAACAAUCGUCGUCGUCGCCGCCGCCUUCACGAACCCCACCUUCCACCGCCUCCCCGCCGACGACGACGCGCCGAUGCCCGUCUCCGUGUCGCUCUCCGGCAGCGGGGACGCGGACGAACACCGCGCCCGUCAGCACCAGCCAGAGCCGCAAGAGCAGCGCCACCAACGGCGGCACGUGACCCCGUCGGCAGCGCAGCCGGUGGAACCUUGCGGCGUGCCCGUCUACGCCUGCCACCCGCAGCCGCAAGAAGUGAUGUGGCCGCUUGCUGCUCGCGCGCCGCACCAACCGCCACCGCCGCCGCCACCGUACUGA